AACAUCUAAGUACCCCGAGGAAAAGAAAUCAACCGAGAUUCCCCCAGUAGCGGCGAGCGAACGGGGAGCAGCCCAGAGCCUGAAUCAGUGUGUGUGUUAGUGGAAGCGUCUGGAAAGGCGCGCGAUACAGGGUGACAGCCCCGUACACAAAAAUGCACAUGCUGUGAGCUCGAUGAGUAGGGCGGGACACGUGGUAUCCUGUCUGAAUAUGGGGGGACCAUCCUCCAAGGCUAAAUACUCCUGACUGACCGAUAGUGAACCAGUACCGUGAGGGAAAGGCGAAAAGAACCCCGGCGAGGGGAGUGAAAAAGAACCUGAAACCGUGUACGUACAAGCAGUGGGAGCACAGAGCAAUCUGUGUGACUGCGUACCUUUUGUAUAAUGGGUCAGCGACUUAUAUUCUGUAGCAAGGUUAACCGAAUAGGGGAGCCGAAGGGAAACCGAGUCUUAACUGGGCGUUAAGUUGCAGGGUAUAGACCCGAAACCCGGUGAUCUAGCCAUGGGCAGGUUGAAGGUUGGGUAACACUAACUGGAGGACCGAACCGACUAAUGUUGAAAAAUUAGCGGAUGACUUGUGGCUGGGGGUGAAAGGCCAAUCAAACCGGGAGAUAGCUGGUUCUCCCCGAAAGCUAUUUAGGUAGCGCCUCGUGAAUUCAUCUCCGGGGGUAGAGCACUGUUUCGGCAAGGGGGUCAUCCCGACUUACCAACCCGAUGCAAACUGCGAAUACCGGAGAAUGUUAUCACGGGAGACACACGGCGGGUGCUAACGUCCGUCGUGAAGAGGGAAACAACCCAGACCGCCAGCUAAGGUCCCAAAGUCAUGGUUAAGUGGGAAACGAUGUGGGAAGGCCCAGACAGCCAGGAUGUUGGCUUAGAAGCAGCCAUCAUUUAAAGAAAGCGUAAUAGCUCACUGGUCGAGUCGGCCUGCGCGGAAGAUGUAACGGGGCUAAACCAUGCACCGAAGCUGCGGCAGCGACACUAUGUGUUGUUGGGUAGGGGAGCGUUCUGUAAGCCUGUGAAGGUGUACUGUGAGGUAUGCUGGAGGUAUCAGAAGUGCGAAUGCUGACAUAAGUAACGAUAAAGCGGGUGAAAAGCCCGCUCGCCGGAAGACCAAGGGUUCCUGUCCAACGUUAAUCGGGGCAGGGUGAGUCGACCCCUAAGGCGAGGCCGAAAGGCGUAGUCGAUGGGAAACAGGUUAAUAUUCCUGUACUUGGUGUUACUGCGAAGGGGGGACGGAGAAGGCUAUGUUGGCCGGGCGACGGUUGUCCCGGUUUAAGCGUGUAGGCUGGUUUUCCAGGCAAAUCCGGAAAAUCAAGGCUGAGGCGUGAUGACGAGGCACUACGGUGCUGAAGCAACAAAUGCCCUGCUUCCAGGAAAAGCCUCUAAGCAUCAGGUAACAUCAAAUCGUACCCCAAACCGACACAGGUGGUCAGGUAGAGAAUACCAAGGCGCUUGAGAGAACUCGGGUGAAGGAACUAGGCAAAAUGGUGCCGUAACUUCGGGAGAAGGCACGCUGAUAUGUAGGUGAAGUCCCUCGCGGAUGGAGCUGAAAUCAGUCGAAGAUACCAGCUGGCUGCAACUGUUUAUUAAAAACACAGCACUGUGCAAACACGAAAGUGGACGUAUACGGUGUGACGCCUGCCCGGUGCCGGAAGGUUAAUUGAUGGGGUCAGCGCAAGCGAAGCUCUUGAUCGAAGCCCCGGUAAACGGCGGCCGUAACUAUAACGGUCCUAAGGUAGCGAAAUUCCUUGUCGGGUAAGUUCCGACCUGCACGAAUGGCGUAAUGAUGGCCAGGCUGUCUCCACCCGAGACUCAGUGAAAUUGAACUCGCUGUGAAGAUGCAGUGUACCCGCGGCAAGACGGAAAGACCCCGUGAACCUUUACUAUAGCUUGACACUGAACAUUGAGCCUUGAUGUGUAGGAUAGGUGGGAGGCUUUGAAGUGUGGACGCCAGUCUGCAUGGAGCCGACCUUGAAAUACCACCCUUUAAUGUUUGAUGUUCUAACGUUGACCCGUGAUCCGGGUUGCGGACAGUGUCUGGUGGGUAGUUUGACUGGGGCGGUCUCCUCCUAAAGAGUAACGGAGGAGCACGAAGGUUGGCUAAUCCUGGUCGGACAUCAGGAGGUUAGUGCAAUGGCAUAAGCCAGCUUGACUGCGAGCGUGACGGCGCGAGCAGGUGCGAAAGCAGGUCAUAGUGAUCCGGUGGUUCUGAAUGGAAGGGCCAUCGCUCAACGGAUAAAAGGUACUCCGGGGAUAACAGGCUGAUACCGCCCAAGAGUUCAUAUCGACGGCGGUGUUUGGCACCUCGAUGUCGGCUCAUCACAUCCUGGGGCUGAAGUAGGUCCCAAGGGUAUGGCUGUUCGCCAUUUAAAGUGGUACGCGAGCUGGGUUUAGAACGUCGUGAGACAGUUCGGUCCCUAUCUGCCGUGGGCGCUGGAGAACUGAGGGGGGCUGCUCCUAGUACGAGAGGACCGGAGUGGACGCAUCACUGGUGUUCGGGUUGUCAUGCCAAUGGCACUGCCCGGUAGCUAAAUGCGGAAGAGAUAAGUGCUGAAAGCAUCUAAGCACGAAACUUGCCCCGAGAUGAGUUCUCCCUGACCCUUUAAGGGUCCUGAAGGAACGUUGAAGACGACGACGUUGAUAGGCCGGGUGUGUAAGCGCAGCGAUGCGUUGAGCUAACCGGUACUAAUGAACCGUGAGGCUUAACCUUACAACGCCGAAGGUGUUU
rnacentral:rRNA from 1 species